AAUGAAAACCUGCUUCAGAGUGCUCUUGACCUCAGUGUGCAAAAGGACCGCUGAUGUCUACGUCCCGGAUGACACCAACCAAUCAGUGCACACGGGAGAUAACGCUGGCGAUAACACCUGCUAUCAAACUCACUCGGCAAAAAGGGACAAAACAGUCACUACUGGUAUGCUGUGCUACAGUGUGCGUGUCUUAAAAAAACCACACAUAUGUUCCAUUGUAUACCAAGUGCUUCAGUAAAUGAAAAUCACAUCUAA